AUUGAACGCUGGCGGCAGGCUUAACACAUGCAAGUCGAGCGGGGGAAGGUAGCUUGCUACUGGACCUAGCGGCGGACGGGUGAGUAAUGCUUAGGAAUCUGCCUAUUAGUGGGGGACAACAUCUCGAAAGGGAUGCUAAUACAGCAUACGUCCUACGGGAGAAAGCAGGGGAUCUUCGGACCUUGCGCUAAUAGAUGAGCCUAGGUAGGAUUAGCGAGUUGGUGGGGUAAAGGCCUACUAAGGCGACGAUCUGUAGCGGGUCUGAAAGGAUGAUCAGCCACACUGGGACUGGGACACUGGCCCGACUCCUACAGGAGGCAGCAGUGGGGAAUAUUGGACAAUGGGGGGAACCCUGAUCCAGCCAUGCCGCGUGUGUGAAGAAGGCCUUAUGGUUGUAAAGCACUUUAAGCGAGGAGGAGGCUACUCUAGUUAAUACCUAGGGAUAGUGGACGUUACUCGCAGAAUAAGCACCGGCUAACUCUGUGCCAGCAGCCGCAGUAA
rnacentral:rRNA from 1 species